ensembl:lncRNA
AGAAAAGUGGUGGAGUAUCCAGGUGCAUGGUUGGUGGCAAGUCUGGCAGAUUAUCCAGGAUGUGUUGGUCAACAGGGUUGGUGUGGUUGAAGAGAUUCUCAAAAUGAUUUACCCAACGGGCAAGAAUCUCGUGGCGGUCCUUGAAGAGCGUAGACCCCUCAGCUGAUCGAACUGGAGCAAUCACCCGCUUCCUGGGGCCGUACAAUGCUUUUAUGGCAUCGUAAAAGCCUUGAGUGUUAUUGCAGUCUGCCAGGUUUUGGAUUUCGUGCGCCUUUUUCACCCACCAGAUGUUCUCCAUAGUCCGAAGGGCUCGCUGGGUUUCUGCUCUUGCAGCAGUGAAGGUGGCUUUAUGGGUAGGAGAUCCAGGGCAGGACAAGAGAGCUUUAUGGGCUUCAUGCUUGGUUUUAAGAAGUGACUGUAUCUCAGCUGAGUUGCAGUCAAACCAGUCCUGGUGAUGUUUCCUUGAUUGGCCAAGCGCUUCUGAAGCAGCGUUAUGAAUAGCCUGGCGUAGAGCUGGCCAAUCAGCUGAUUCCUCCGGGAUCAUGUUGAGGUUUUCAGCAAGAAGCCGUCGGAGGUUGUCUUUGAUGGUGAGGUUGUUCAAAGCUGUGCAGUUUAGUUUCUUGUUUGGGACUCGCCUCGGAACACGAGGUUGAAUACUCAUGAGUAAUUUGGAUCUAACCAUGAGAUGGUCAGUCCAGCACUCAGCUCCGCGCAUAACACGAGUGGUAAGGACAUCUCGUCUAUCCUUUUGACGGACAAUUACGUAAUCCAGGAGAUGCCAGUGUUUUGAGCGGGGGUGCUGCCAGGUGGUCUUGAGCCUGUUCUUCAUCUGGAAAAUGGUGUUAGUGAUGACCAGCUGGUGCUCUGCACAGAGAGAGAGGAGUCUGAGCCCGUUGCGGUUCAUUUUCCCCACACCAUGCUGGCCGAUGACUUUACUCCAUACCAUAUGCUCCGAACCCACUCUAGCAUUGAAGUCUCCCAUGAGUAUGAGCCUGUCUUUAGCCGGGGGUUUGCCUUCUUCCGCCUUCCCAGCCGUUGUGGUGGUUCUCACACCACCAUCUUCCGUCUGCGCCGCCGUUGGGGUCUUUGCUAUUUGCCCAUAGUUGGGACUAUUUACCCAUAGCUGGGACAGUGGUUGACGGGCAGCAGGGCAUUUCCAUUCACUGAUGGGCCUGCAUGCCACGUCUCUGGGGCCCACUGCUGCUCCGAGAUCCCGUGCAACUUAGCCUGGAGCCGCAAGGGCCCAGUUACCAUGUGUGCCGCGAGGAGGCGUGAACGAGAUCUUGGCAGUGGAGAGGCUAUGUACCGGCUGAGGAGGCUUACACACUCGGCUCCUCUUUUCGCCCCUGAAAAAACAAGGGGCUAUCCGGUGGCAGCAGCUGAAAGCAGAAAGUAGCCAGCAGAACUACAAGACCUACAAGCACUACUACUCCAACACUGCUGCACUGACGCGUCACACGCCCUGUGUACACACAUGAUAUUUUGAAUUGUAAUAAUAUUUCAGCUGUACAAACAGACUCGGUGAGCAUAAGAAAAUUAUUUUAAAAACAUUUAAAAAAGUUCUGGAC